rnacentral:rRNA from 1 species
UACGUAGGGGGCAAGCGUUGUCCGGAUUUAUUGGGCGUAAAGAGCGUGUAGGCGGCUCGAUAAGUCCGUUCUGAAAGUCCAGGGCUCAACCCUGGGAUGCGGAUGGAUACUGUCGGGCUCGAGUCCGGAAGAGGCGAGUGGAAUUCCUGGUGUAGCGGUGAAAUGCGCAGAUAUCAGGAAGAACACCCGUGGCUAAGGCGGUUCUCUAGUACGGUACUGACGCUGAGACGCGAAAGCGUGGGGAGCGAACAGG